GAUGAACGCUAGCGGCAGGCCUAACACAUGCAAGUCGAGGGGUAGAACACUUCGGUGUUUGAGACCGGCGCACGGGUGCGUAACGCGUAUGCAAUCUACCUUGUACAGGGGAAUAGCCCAGAGAAAUUUGGAUUAAUGCCCCAUAGCAUAUAACCUUCGCAUGUUGGUUAUAUUAAAGUUCCAACGGUACAAGAUGAGCAUGCGUCCCAUUAGUUAGUUGGUAAGGUAACGGCUUACCAAGACGAUGAUGGGUAGGGGUCCUGAGAGGGAGAUCCCCCACACUGGUACUGAGACACGGACCAGACUCCUACGGGAGGCAGCAGUGAGGAAUAUUGGUCAAUGGGCGCAAGCCUGAACCAGCCAUGCCGCGUGCAGGAAGACGGUCCUAUGGAUUGUAAACUGCUUUUAUACAGGAAGAAACAACUCUACGUGUAGAGUCUUGACGGUACUGUAGGAAUAAGGAUCAGCUAACUCCGUGCCAGCCGCCGCAGUAAGAC
rnacentral:rRNA from 1 species